rnacentral:misc_RNA from 1 species
AAGUCGUAACAAGGUUUCCGUAGGUGAACCUGCGGAAGGAUCAUUAACACGUAUCCAACGUCAACCAACGAGAACCGUUUUCGCCCUCCCUUGACUUAGAAUGAGCGGGGUUUGCCUGAGGUAUUGAAAGGGAUUGUUUCGACAGUCAGCCUCAGAGAACUAUUGUUUUUGUGAUCGAAAGAUUGCAGAACGACGCUGUAUCUUUUUGUCAAGAUUAUUCUCACACAGACCCCCCCUUUCAUUGUGGAGCUGUUGUGGGUAACUUAUUUUAACUUAUUUCACCUUUUUUGCUAGUUGACUUUUAUAUGUUGUUCCUUUUUGCGACUUAAUUGAAGUGAAAGGUUCACACGUUUAAUUAUUUGAACGUUAAAAUUACAACUCUUAGCAAUGGAUAUCUUGGUUCUC